GGGAGGGGUGACCCGCGGCCCUGGGUGAUUCGCGCCUUGGUGGUCAAUGUACACUACCUCAACUUCUCCAUGGUUCUCUUCGCGGUGACGGGCCUGGUGACGGUGGCUGGCUCGCUGCUCACGCCCCCCAUCCCUGAGGACUGUCUGUAUCGCCUCACUUUCUGGUCGAGGAAAGACACAAGGGUGCGCCGCUCCCUCAAGGCCCCCCGCCCCCCGUCGGCCGCCCCCCACCAGGAGACAGAGAUGGAGAGAAAAGUGCCAAGAGGAGGAGGAGAGGAAGGAAAGGCCGAGGAGGAGGAGGAGGAGGAGGAGGAGGAGAUGAAGAGGAAGAAGAAGGAAGCAGAAAAAGCAGUAGAGAUUUUGAAGGAGUCGCCAUCUUGGAGAAGGAUAGUUAACUGGAAUGCCGCCAUCUGCCUUAUUAUUAGUACUUUUGUUGUGGGAUUUUUCGCCUAACACACUCUCUCUCUCUCUCUCUCUCUCUCUCUCUCUCUCUCUCUCUCUCUCUCUCUCUCUCUCUCUCUCUCUCUCUCGUUUGUUUAUUUUCUCUUUUUUCUCUUUUCAUGUUUCUUUAUUUUAUUAUUUUAUUAUGUUUAUUCUGUUCUCAUUCCUGUCUUCUGCUUUUUCUAACUUUUAAAGCAGGAAUUUUUACUACUACUACUACUACUACUACUACUACUACUACUACCACUACAUUAUCAUAGUAUUAUUCACAAAAUGCAGAAAUAUUAGUGCAGUAUAUCGAAGUCUUUCAAGAAUAAUGGAGAGAUAAAUGAAUAAGUAAAUACAUAAGAACAAUAGAUAAUUAAUUGUAUCUUCCAGUUUUCGUACAUUUUUCUUUCAAUUGUUGUAUGUUAAAGAAUAGGAAUGCGUACGGUAGUGACUGUUACUGCUGGGAAUGCGUACGGUAAUGGCUGUUGCUCUCGGGAAUGCGUACGGUAAUGACUGUUGCUGCCGGGAAUGCGUACGGUAAUGACUGUUGCUGCCGGGAAUGCGUACGGUAAUGACUGUUGCUGCCGGGGAUGCGUACGGUAAUGACUGUUGCUGCCAGGAAUGCGUACGGUAAUGACUGUUGCUGCCGGGAAUGCGUACGAUAGUGACUGUUGCUGCCAGGGAAUGCAUACGGUAAUGACUGUUGCUGCCGAGAAUGCGUACGGUAAUGACUGUUGCUGCCGGGAAUGCGCACGGUGGUGACUGUUGCUGCCAGGAAUGCGUACGGUAAUGACUGUUGAUGCCGGGAAUGUGUACGGUAAUGACUGUUGCUACCAGGAAUGCGUACGGUAAUGACUGUUGCUGCCGGGAAUGUGUACGGUAAUGACUGUUGCUACCGGGAAU